GGGAAAGCGAAUACGAUGUCCAGUUGUUGUCACACUAAAUCACAUAUGGUUAUGAUCAGGGAUAUGGAAGAUACGAAUCUAAGCAAUACUUCAAUUUCUACAUAUCUCUGUGAUCAAUACUUCAAUUUAGCAAAGGAUGAUGCACCAUAAUCUAUCAAGGUUUAGCACUUCCAAUACUUCAUCUAAGUAGCUUCAAUGAAGUAUCUCUUUGAUAUUUUGUUUUCAUUGUUCAUCAGUACCUGCUUCUGAGUCAUAUGGGUUCCUAAUAGUUUAAGGGAUGUGGUCAUUUUCAUCUAAGUUCACUCUGUUGUAAAUGCGCUAUUGUAAAUGUGCUAUCGUAAAUGUAUGCAUUAUGCAUUGCGCGAAUGUGAUUGAAGCUGAUCAAAUGCAUUGGUGCAAUAUUCUAACACUUGCAAAACUGAAACUGGAAGCUGAAAUUUUGAAAACUGAUCAAAUGUAUGCGUUAUGUAUGAAUCAUUGUUUUUCUAAUAUAAUAUAAAAUACAUCUUUUCGAAUUAAAAUUAAAACUACCAUGUUCCUGUCUAUGAUCUAUGCAAGUUUAUGUUUGUGUAAACACUGCUAAAUACACUUAGCAUCACUAUUCCUUAAAAUUCUCCCUUCUCAAUAUAUAUGCCUUAUUGUGUUUGCUCAUUUCUGUUCAUGAUUACCUAUAUAUUCUGAUUCAGGGAAAACUGAGAUUUCAGUUGCAGAAGUGUUCAUUCGUUUCAAUGUGACCAGGGGCAUCCUUUUACCUUAUAACUUAUAAUAACAAAGCAAUUGGAUGGUUUUCUCUACUGCAGGUGUGAGGAGAGGCAUACCUAUACCCUAAAUUAUAAGAUAGUUUCAUCUAUAUGUAUCCAAUUUCAUAGAAUUCUUAACAGAAGAUGGUUCUUCAUGUAUCUUUCAUGUUCAAUUUCAACUGUUUUAUUCCAUUUGCAUUUCCACUUCUACAUAUAAUUUUUUUACAGUUUCCACUGUUUAGAGUGUUGCCUUAAUUAUUUUUGCUCUCCACAAUGAACCCUUGUAUAUAUAUUGUCCUUCCACCUGGUAAGAAAAUAUUUAAUGAAUGAAACUGUCGUACUCCAUUAACACAGACAACGUUGCAAAAAACCGCGGCAAGCCGC